UACGUAGGGGGCAAGCGUUAUCCGGAUUUACUGGGUGUAAAGGGAGCGUAGACGGCGAUGCAAGCCAGAUGUGAAAGCCCGGGGCUCAACCCCGGGACUGCAUUUGGAACUGUAUAGCUAGAGUAUCGGAGAGGCAGGCGGAAUUCCUAGUGUAGCGGUGAAAUGCGUAGAUAUUAGGAGGAACACCAGUGGCGAAGGCGGCCUGCUGGACGAUGACUGACGUUGAGGCUCGAAAGCGUGGGGAGCAAACAGG
rnacentral:rRNA from 1 species